CAGAGGAGAGAAAAGAAGAAAAAAAGCCACCAACACCUCGCAUGACCCUGCCCCUUGAUCCCAUCUCCAGCUCCUUCCCGCCGCCACCUCCUGCCCCGCGCCGCCCGCCCCACACCGCCUCGAUCGGGACCGCGUCCCUCCCCAAACGACAGCGAUGGUUGAGGGCGCCGCCCAACUCCUGGCCGACGGAUUCGCUGGCUCCCCGCUCCUCGGGGCCAGCCCAUCCUCCGUGUCGGGUCGAGCAUCGACUUGGAGGCCACUUGGGGCUGCCGCCGGUGCGGGAGUCCCGUGCAGCCGUGAGGGCUGGGGACCGAGCGGCGGGGCCCGUGGUGCGACGCUUGAUGGAUGGCCUGCACAGCGUGGACGACUGCUUAUCUCCCGGGAGGGCCAUAGGCAGGUGCUACCAAUCUGCAUCAAACUGUUGGGCCAUGAGAAGAAAAAGGUUCCAUGAGGGUGUCUAUUUUCAGAACUGGAGAAAGAGCUCGCCUACCAUGCAUGUUGCCUGGUCCGAUGAGCUGUGCUACGCCGAGUGCCCUGUCAGAGUGCAGCCGCACAGCACUGCCCGCUGUUGAGGACCCCGGAGCCUAGACAGUUAGCUCGGCAACUUCCAGCCCCCACCGCCUUUCUCGACAGGCACGACACCCAGGUUUUCGUCUAUGCCUCAUUGGAUGCACUUCCAUUGUAGUGUGCUACCAAACUUUUUUACGAACAGUGUAGUACCAGUUGCUGUGAUAUCAUGUCCUCAGCAAUGCCCCCGAUGGAACGACCACGACCAUGUUGUUGCCUGGAGUCUUUUUUCAUGAUGAUGUCGCUAUUCGCCAUCCCACAGUUUAUGCGGUGGAGCGUCAAUGACCUCAGCGUGUUGCAGGAGAAGACCAUGAAGAUCGGCAAGAAAGAUAUGUGUCAUACAGGUUGAUCAAGGAAGGUGCAACACUGUGAUGUGAGUUGAACACAAGCAUGGCCUACAAUCUCGACGCCCACCAUCCAUGUGCCUUGCAAGCAGCAAUUGUUCACAUCCUUGACAUUUGUCACUGCCCUCUUCUCAUCUAUCCCGACAGUCUCGGUGUCCAGGCAAGAGAGACUCCAGUCUUGCUAGUAGUUCCGCGUGGACUUCGACGUUUAGCUGGUUACCUCAGCUACGAUCUUGUGCCCUCGGCAGGGUCUUGUAGAUAGUCAGGCUUCUCGGUCUUUUUCAAUUGUAGCUGUCUGUACUCAGACAUGUUAUGCUUCCGCUUGUUGCUUGUAUGCUCUGUAUGUUGGGUCAUGAGACCCAUGUUGUAAUACUUGGCUCCUCGCAGCCUAACGAAUAAAUACAUUGAGUUGUAGAGUUUUGUUGUGAUGCCAUGUUGUA